AUACGUAGGUGCCAAGCGUUAUCCGGAUUUACUGGGCGUAAAGGGCGUGUAGGCGGUCUUGCAAGUCAGAAGUGAAAUUCCUGAGCUCAACUCGGGCGCUGCUUCUGAAACUGCAGGACUUGAGUGCUGGAGGGGAUAGCGGAAUUCCUAGUGGAGCGGUAAAAUGCGCAGAUAUUAGGAAGAACACCGGUGGCGAAGGCGGAUAGUUGGACAGGAACGGAGGCUGAGGCGCGAAAGCGUGGGGAGCAAAGAGGAUGACAUAGCUUGGUACACCACGUCGUACACGAUGAAUACUAGGUGUAGGGGAUAUCGACUCCCUCUGUGCCGCAGGUAACACAAUAAGGAUUCCGCCUGGGGAGUACGGCAGCAAGGUUGAAACUCAAAGGAAUUGACGGGG
rnacentral:rRNA from 1 species